CACGGGCCUGUAGUCUCAGCUACUGGGGAGGGUGAGGUGGGAGGAUCAUUUGAGUCCAGGAGCUCUGGGCUUUAGUGCACUAUGCUAAUUGGGUGUCCACACCAAAUUCUGCAUCAAUAUGGUGACCUCCAGGGAGUGAGGAACCACCAGUUUGCCUAAGGAGGGGUGAACUGGCCCAGAUCAGAAAUGAAGCACUUCCAUGCUGAUCAGUAGAGGGAUCAUGCCUGUGAAUAGCCAUUGCACUGCAGCCUGGGCAACAAGAGUGAAACUCUGUCUCA
rnacentral:SRP_RNA from 1 species